GACGAACGCUGGCGGCGUGCCUAAUACAUGCAAGUAGAACGCUGAAGGAGGAGCUUGCUUCUCUGGAUGAGUUGCGAACGGGUGAGUAACGCGUAGGUAACCUGCCUGGUAGCGGGGGAUAACUAUUGGAAACGAUAGCUAAUACCGCAUAAGAGUAGAUGUUGCAUGACAUUUGCUUAAAAGGUGCAAUUGCAUCACUACCAGAUGGACCUGCGUUGUAUUAGCUAGUUGGUGGGGUAACGGCUCACCAAGGCGACGAUACAUAGCCGACCUGAGAGGGUGAUCGGCCACACUGGGACUGAGACACGGCCCAGACUCCUACGGGAGGCAGCAGUAGGGAAUCUUCGGCAAUGGACGGAAGUCUGACCGAGCAACGCCGCGUGAGUGAAGAAGGUUCUCGGAUCGUAAAGCUCUGUUGUAAGAGAAGAACGAGUGUGAGAGUGGAAAGUUCACACUGUGACGGUAUCUUACCAGAAAGGGACGGCUAACUACGUG
rnacentral:rRNA from 1 species